rnacentral:rRNA from 1 species
UACGGAGGGUGCAAACGUUGCUCGGAAUCAUUGGGCGUAAAGCGCACGUAGGCGGCCUGUUAAGUCGGGUGUGAAAGCCCUGGGCUCAACCCAGGAAGUGCACUCGAAAACUGGCGGGCUUGAAUAUGGAAGAGGGUCGCGGAAUUCCCGGUGUAGAGGUGAAAAUUCGUAGAUAUCGGGAGGAACACCUGUGGCGAAAAGCGGCU